rnacentral:sRNA from 1 species
AAUGGCAACGGAUACAACAACUUUUCCUGAAGGCGAUGCAGAAGCUGAA